rnacentral:rRNA from 1 species
CAGCCGCAAACUAUGCGCGUUAGGUGUAUCGGUGACCACGAGUUACCGAGGUGCCGAAGGGAAACCGUGAAACGUGCCGCCUGGGAAGUACGGUCGCAAGGCUGAAACUUAAAGGAAUUGGCGGGGGAGCACCACAACAGGUGGAGCCUGCGGUUUAAUUGGACUCAACGCCGGGAAGCUCACCGGAUAGGACAGCAGAAUGAUUGCCGGGCUGAAGACCCUGCAUGACUAGCUGAGAGGAGGUGCAUGGCGUAGUCGUGU